rnacentral:rRNA from 1 species
UACGGAGGGUGCGAGCGUUGUCCGGAAUCACUGGGCGUAAAGCGCGCGCAGGCGGUUUCUUAAGUCUGAUGUGAAAGCCCUCGGCUUAACCGAGGAGGGUCAUUGGAAACUGGGAGACUUGAGUGCAGAAGAGGAAAGUGGAAUUCCAAGUGUAGCGGUGAAAUGCGUAGAGAUUUGGAGGAACACCAGUGGCGAAGGCGGUCGUCUGGGCAGAUACUGACGCUGAGGUGCGAAAGCGUGGGGAGCAAACAGG